rnacentral:rRNA from 1 species
AAUAGAUACCCAGGUAGUCCAUGCCGUAAACGAUGUCUACUAGCCGUUGGGGCCUUUGAGGCUUUAGUGGCGCAGCUAACGCGAUAAGUAGACCGCCUGGGGAGUACGGUCGCAAGACUAAAACUCAAAUGAAUUGACGGGGGCCCGCACAAGCGGUGGAGCAUGUGGUUUAAUUCGAUGCAACGCGAAGAACCUUACCUGGUCUUGACAUAGUAAGAACUUUCCAGAGAUGGAUUGGUGCCUUCGGGAACUUACAUACAGGUGCUGCAUGGUUGUCGUCAGCUCGUGUCGUGAGAUGUUGGGUUAAGUCCCGCAACGAGCGCAACCCUUUUCCUUAUUUGCCAGCGGGUUAAGCCGGGAACUUUAAGGAUACUGCCAGUGACAAACUGGAGGAAGGCGGGGACGACGUCAAGUCAUCAUGGCCCUUACGACCAGGGCUACACACGUGCUACAAUGGUCGGUACAAAGGGUUGCUACCUAGCGAUAGGAUGCUAAUCUCAAAAAGCCGAUCGUAGUCCGGAUUGGAGUCUGCAACUCGACUCC